CCCUUAGAUGUCCGGGGCUGCACGCGCGCUACACUGAAGGAAUCAGCGUGCUAAAACCAUUGUCGAAAGGCAUUGGUAAACCCAUUAAAAUCCUACGUGAUUGGGAUCGGGAAUUGCAAUUAUUUCCCUUGAACGAGGAAUUCCCAGUAAGUGUGGGUCAUAAGCUCGCGUUGAUUACGUCCCUGCCCUUUGUACACACCGCCCGUCGCUGCCCGGGACUGAGCCGUUUCUAGAAAAGCGGGGACUGCUGCUGUCGGGGCUUUCGGGCCUUGGCUUCGGUGGAAACCGCUUUAAUCGCAGUGGCUUGAACCGGGCAAAAGUCGUAACA
rnacentral:rRNA from 1 species